UAUUUGUGAAAAAAAUGAGUGAAUUGAAACAUCUUAUCAACUCGAAAAAAAAGCAACCGAGAGUUUUUAAGUGGCAU
rnacentral:rRNA from 13 species